CCUGUUUGUUGCAGAAAAUGCAGUGGACUCUGAUUCAACUUUGGUUGUUCAUAUAGGUUUGUCAACUCUCCCUUCUCUUGCGCAAAAGUUGAUACACCACGGUUUGCCACCCAAUACACCAGCUGCUGCAGUUGACCGAGGGACCACACCUGAACAACGCAUUGUCAAAACUAGAAUUGAGGGAUUGCGGUUCCCGUUACUUUUUUUAUUGCCGUUAUAUUUUUUGUAUGGCUCAUGAAGAAGUUGCAUAUAUGGAAGAGAGAGACUAAGACAGAGAAGGAAGAUAUGAAGAAUUUUUGUUUUAUUUUGGUUAAGUAAAGAUAUAAGGUAUGGAUCAUGUACUUCUUAGAAAUUUGUAUAUAUUUUUGUAUAAAAACAUGAUUUGGAAUUGGUUAUAUAAAUAUGAUGUUAUUGGCACUUGUAA